CGUGAAGGCUGAGGAUUCGUUCUGCUGCUGGUGCCUGUUCAGCUGCUGUUUUCCGUUGCCUGAGAAGAGGCGAGGAGAGCUGCGUUCCUGCAGAGGCCACUGCAGAGAUACUGAAUUGAUGAAUGAAAAAGCUGAACAAACUAGAAAAGUGUAUGUCUGGAGAUUUGCCUCUUGACAAACUUCAACAAGAGUUACUUCUUUGUCUAUGCACUGAGGAGAAGAACAACAUAUCAAGUGCCUUUGAGUAACUGAAGUUUUUGUCUGGAGAUAGCACGAGGUUUCUCCAUGUCGCUGUUGAAGCUAAAGCUGUGAUCUCUGUCUCAGCUAUAUUUUGUCACUAAGAGAUAACUGGGAGGCUGCACAACAUUUCAGAUAAAAUGUUGGGUGUGGAAACCUAUUCUCAUCAAAUAAGUAUUAUUCUUUUAAUUUUCCUGUUACCUCAGAAAGGAAUUUCUUAGGGUUAUAGUGCACGUACUUGGCUGUGCUGCCCGUACUGGCUGGCUUGAAUGUGCUGCUUCUCACAGGCAGAACUAGAGAUGGGGACUGAUUUCUUGCAUUCCUUCACAGAGCAACAAGCUGGUGAAUCACAGUGUUAUGUGGGAACCAAUGGGAGGCGGUAAGAAGAUUAUUUUGCUGGUUGAUAAUAACAUAUUAUUGUGGGAUUUGCAGGAAAGUUCAGCCGAAGCUGUGGUAAGAUUUUUUUUUUUUACAACAAAUCAUGAUAGAUUGACUAUAGUACAAACAGUUGCAUUCCCUAGCCUAGAAUUUACUAACUUUUUUGCUACUCAGAAAUAUCUUAAGGCCUUUAAUGCUGGUGGGGAAAAUGAAAUACCCUAUCAGUUGUCUUGAAUACAAGUGUUUAAGAGAAGGAAACUUGGUGUUUUUGUAUCUGUUGCUAGUGGUUAUUUUUUCUUUUUCUAGAGCUCCUUGUGCUUUCCUACUGGAUUUAAAGUAACUAAUCCAAAGUAAAGCAAUGCUAAUUUGAUAAAUGUAUAUGAGAAAAAAAAUUGUAGUAGCCUUUGGCUUUACUGAUUGAAUUUAGAUAAUAGUAUAUGAAUUCACGUUGGUUAAUACCAUGCAGCCCUCAGUUUAGUUUAUAGUCCUUGUUGCAUGUGUAAGUAUAAUAUAAAUUUCUCUAUUUACUGUGCACUGCUUUAAGCUCUCUGUAUUAGUUUAAUCUAGUGCCAUAGUUUGCAUUCAGAUUAUUUUGCUGAUUGUUAAAACCUUCUUAUUCAGGAACAGAUAUAAAAAUACGUCAUUGGCAUAGAUUUCUGUUUGAUUAUGCUACCUCUUAUGGAUAAACAAAGAAGUCUGCUUAUUUCAGUAUAAUGACAUAGAUUGUAUAUAGAAAACUUCAGAUGUUUCUUUAUAGAGUCAUUGAGGUCAGUAUCUGUCCUACAAAGGGAAACCAGUUAUGUCAAGGACAUUAUUAUUCAGAUGAUGGCUUGUCACUUCUUGAAUUAAAUCCUCAUUGUUCAGGGUUAGUUUCUUUUCUUGGAUGCUACAGAAUCACAUUUUUCAACUGGCAGUUGCUUAAAGAGUCAACACGUGUGUGUAAACUCUUCCCUGUUGUACCAUCUGACUGUAUGCACAUAGAUGAAGUCUUGAAUUAUUAUUAUUAUUUUGCAUAGUGUCCAUCUAAUGUGAUGUAGUUUAUACUUUGUUCGUAAUGAAGCCCUUGGGGUUCCUUCACUAGA